AAUGGGAAACAGAUGUAUUUAUAGGCAUUUAUACCUACAUAUUUGUGUGUAUAUACAUACAUGCAUACAUAUACAUAUAAAGGAAUACAUCAUCUUACU
rnacentral:miRNA from 1 species